rnacentral:lncRNA from 1 species
UAUUGGAUCUUGCACACGUUGCUAAUACCCUAACAUUGUGCUGUCAGCAUUCAUAACAGAGCUGGGCUGAUGGAUGCAUGCAUCUUGGUAAUUGUACUGGAAAUGCUGGAAGACUCAGAAUAUACACUAGAUAUAUUGGCAAAAUUUUCUCAAUUCUGUUUCUGCAUUGUGCACUAUUUUUCUGAAGGCUAAGGAGCUGUCUAAUCUUGAGUGCUUGGAUGAUCUUGGUAGGUAUAAAAUACCCUUCAGAGAUUCAAUUGUAUUUUUGUACUUUUUAAGUUGUGACAAAUUUGUAACCAUAGUUUAAUGAAAUKAACUGAACACUCAGGUCCCUUGAGGCUGGCAGUGGGAUAUCUUCACGUUAGCUUCCCUUUGGAUUGUACCUUGAUUUGUUCUAGGUAGCUCRGUGCUCAUGUGCCAACCUUUUGGUCCUGUUUUGAUUUAUGGAAAAUGAAAGGAAGAUUUCUAGUUCUAGGAGGUAUUAUAUCCAAAACGCKUUAGUUACUGACAGACAGUUCAUGCAACGUAUCCUGCCCUGCCGCUCGUAGUUUCCAUAAGGUCCGGGGUGCCCUGUGUUUUGGUGACGAAUCCCCAGGCUCCUGGGCACAAGCUGACCCUCCCCUGGCUGAAGGAAGGGAUUUUCCCCCGUGGAGGAGCUCUUCAUAAUUGUCAUUUUCUGCAGCUUCCACUGCAGUAACUGAGAGCCAGACGUUGUCAGACAGGAUUACAGGUCUGGCUUUCAGCAUGAGGCCAUCUGGUAGCAUCAGAUUUUCUAUGUAAUCUUGCCAGCUGUUUGGCACUGGAGUGGUAAGAAAUGAUGUAGGUUUACAUAUAAGGCAGGCUUGCCAUUAAUGUAUCUUGGUAAAAACGCUGGAGAUCCUAGAUGUGUUGCAUGUGCUGCCAAAACACAGGUCUCUGAGCCAGAGAUUUUUUUGUUUAAAAGUGCACAAGAGCAAGUGGUGUGCCUGUGCGUUGCAUUUCCACCCGYAUCACCAAAUUCCUACAUUUGUUGUGAUACAAACCUUUGCCAACAAACUGCAAUGAUUCUGCAUUUAGUCCUUGGGCUCGUUUUUUCCUCCGAUAUUUACCAAGCCAGGAUUAAAACGACAUCUGACUUCUUCUGACGUCUUUUCU